GCAUUGACAAGUCUCGAGGGAGAUAAAUGGAUCCACAAGGAGUAUGGUGAUGAAAGUUCCCUCAACUUAACAGACUCACAGAUGGGAGAAGGCAAAUAUCUGAAUGGCAUAUCUUAUUAUUAUCCUAAUGAAAGACCCAUGUGCUUAAGUGAUACUGUCAGUGGCGAUGCUAAUAAAUACAGGAAACUCUUGGAAAGUAUCUUAUUAUUAUCCUAAUGAAAGAUCCAUGUGCUUAAGUGAUACUGCCAGUGGUGAUGCUAAUAAAUACAGGAAACUCUUGGAAAAUGGUAAAAAUGUCCUGGAUUUAGCUCCUUUACCAGCUUUUGGGUCUGAAAGCACCAGUGAGCAUGCUGGAUCUUGUUUGUUUGAUGUUCCUAUUAGUUCAGGAAAUGCACUAAGCUGGCUUGGGGGAUCUAAUACUGUUCUUACUCAGCAAGAUAGCAACAGUAUACCUCUUGCAGCAAG
rnacentral:lncRNA from 1 species